GCUGUUCCUGGGCACGACCCCGUGCUUAUUCGAGACACAACAAAGCUCAAGAUCUACGAACCCCGCCGGCAACAAAAGCUGGAGACUCCGAUUAGACUGUGGCACUAGGGAUAUCCUUCUGCUUAAACUGUCAUAAAAAAGUAAUCACUUCUUCCCUCCUCCACUUGACGUGUAAAGUGAAAGUGAAAAUGACAAGAUGUGGUCCGUGCUGUUAUAAUGUUUCCGUCCUCUGUUCCAGGUGCCUUCUUCAAGUGCUUGCCAAUGUCCUGUUUGUUCAAAAGGAAAAAUACUAGGGAAAAGAUUGAACUUGUUGAAAAAAUAUAUUAUGUUCCUUGGUUUGAAUUGCAAAUAAAUCCAAACCCAUCUUUCGUGAUAGAUAAAUGCUGAGGUUUUAGUUUGAGGAUUUCGCUAACCAUAAUGUGUUUGAGCUGCCGGCCAGAUAUGGCACUACCCAUUUGGUCUUCAACGAUGAUAUACAGGGGACAGCAUCUAUCAUGCUUGCUGGGCUUGUUGCAUCGCUUACGCUGCUUGGCGGUACCUUGGCUGACCACAGAUUCUUGUUCUUUGGUGCUGGAGAGAAGGUAAGUGUGUAUGAAUCAUAUUGCAGGGAAAAACAGUUGAAGUAGGAAGAGCGCACUUUGAAACAGAAACGACCAGAUUUACUAUAUUGGAUGCCCCGGGUCACAAAAGCUAUGUACCUAACAUGAUCAGUGGGGCAUCACAAGCAGAUAUAGGUGUACUUGUAAUUUCUGCUCGGAAGGGAGAAUUUGAAACAGGUUAUGAGAGAGGUGGACAGACACGUGAACAUGUGCAACUAGCUAAGACAUUGGGAGUCUCUAAGCUGCUGGUUGUUGUGAACAAAAUGGAUGAGCCAACUGUUAAAUGGUCAAA